GGUGUCUUCCGAUCUUGAAAAUAAGCAUAGAUCCGGACAUUCCCAAAUAGGUCAACCUUUUUAACUGCCUGCUGAAUCCAUGAGCAGGCAAGAGACAACCUGGCAAACUGAAACAUCUUAGUAGCCAGAGGAAAAGAAAGCAAAAGCGAUUCCCGUAGUAGCGGCGAGCAAAAGGG